AUGGACAUAUGGAUUGAGUGGUACCCACCUGAAAGAUACACAUCUCAGCAGCCAAGAACUUCAAUAAAAAUGUAUAUCCCAACUCCUUUUAUAAUCUUGAAUGCUUCUCGGUCAACGUCGGUGUCACUUCCAGUCUUGGAUGCUACCAGGAUGCCAGGGAAGAGGUAUGAAAUUCUCAACUUAGGAAGGAACAUACAACCUAUAAUGUGUCGAUCACUAACUAAUAAACAGGAGUCUGAUGUUGGAAAGAAGCAACUGGUGUGCAUUUUGUAUGCAUUGGAAUUAGAUUCAGAAUGCAUGAUGAUUGGUUUCUUAUGUGUUCAUAUAGGAAGUUUGACGCAGUACAGUGCGGGGGAGGCGGUGUCCUCUGCAGCUAGGUCUACUUGCUGGCGACCUCACCAUCACCAACCCAUCUACAGAUCCAGAAGCUCACGCAUGGAGGACAUGGACAUUGGUAUCGUCUGUGACGAGGGUUCCCCAGGAUCAAUAGCGUCAAGGACAGGAACGCCUGUGCCCAAUGAUAAUGACUACCUGAUAGUGAUUCCUUAUGCUCACAUCUUUGGCCUCAUGCUGCAAGCUCUAAAGCUGCCCCCUGCAACUUACCAGCACAAAAUAUACCCAGGCGGAAAGAAUCGUGUGACAGUGACUUUCAUUUCUACUUUGGAAUUGCUAGAUGGUUCACUUGUCCCGAGUUCUAUACCAGGUGCAAUCUUAGAUAGCUAUGAAGAUGCAGAAGACAGUGCUGCUAUGGAGGCUAUUAGAUUCAUGGAGAAUGCAUAUGGCAAAGAAAUGAGGGGCUACCACUACACCCAUGUCAAGAGGCUAGAAAAUCAAGUGACGCACCUGGUCAAAUGGUUGACUUCAUCCAAUGAGACAAUCAAGAAGCUGCGCAAAACAUGCUACUACGCUGUCAGGUACAUGAACUCAUAUUCUGCCCGGAUAGAAAACACAACAGCUGCUCGCCACCUGAAAGGUCAGGACAACACCAAAGGAGUUAUGAAAACAGCUCUUGCAAGCAUCGAAGGACUGACGCAAAGGCUACGCUACAUUGCUAUGAAGUUUGAGCAGCGCCUUGAAGCAACCAGAAAUAGUUUCUGGUAA
rnacentral:rRNA from 1 species